CAGCUAGAAAGGCAGGGCCGUAUCCGCCCGCGUUAGGCUGUCUGCACUAAUCCACUAAGCUAAAACAGCUAGGUCCAGAGGGAAUUGAUAUUUCCUCAUGGCUUCUCAGUGUGUAUUCAGGUCCAGACCAGAGAACCCAGGUCAAGGAGGAACUCCAUAAAUAGAAGAAAGAGUCCCUGUCCCGUUACCAUGGAGACACGGAACAGCAUAUGCUAACUUAAAAAAAAAAAAAACAUAGCAGAAGGGAAGCUGGGGCCUUUCUGCAAAUUGAAUCUAAUAAAAGCGCACUCCUUCUGCUCUGAGAUCAAAAGUCAAUGGCGUUAGGAGGAAAUGGAGGCUGGGGAAGGCUCGUUGGCUUGGAGCUGGUAAGGAGCUGGUACAUGGGAAGUUGCUGGUCUGAGUGAUGGCUGAAUUGUGUAGGGUGUUUAACACCACGCAUAGAUCUCAUUCCAUUAGGGCCAGAAUUGUGU
rnacentral:lncRNA from 1 species